GUGGGCAUAGCUCAGCUGGAUAGAGCGUUUGGCUACGGACCAAAAGGCCGGGGGUUCGAAUCCUCUUGCCCACG
rnacentral:tRNA from 1 species